rnacentral:sRNA from 1 species
GAUGAGCAAGUUUUCUACAUUCAAUACUUGAAGUCCAUGGCAUUUUCAGUGUACUGCCAGUGCAGGCGACCACUGCCUACACAGAUCCACAUUAAAUCCCUCACGGGAUUUGGGCCUGCAGCCAGCAUUGAGAUGACCCUCAAGAACCCUGAGCGGCCCAGCCCAAUCCAGCUUUACUCCCCUCCCUUUAUAUUGGCCCCAAUCAAAGACAAGCAGACAGAGCUGGGAGAGACGUUUGGUGAGGCGAGCCAGAAAUACAAUGUGCUCUUCGUGGGCUAUUGUCUGUCUCACGACCAGCGCUGGCUUUUGGCUUCCUGCACUGACCUCCAUGGGGAAUUAUUAGAGACCUGCGUUGUAAAUAUUGCUUUACCAAACAGGUGAGAAGACUUGAUGUUUAUGGUGCAUGUAAAUUAAUGCUGUACCGUUCCUCAAAUAUGAAUAUUUCCAGUUUUCUAUGUAAAUGAAGUGGGUACAGCAUGGAUAGGUUCUUUGGAAUUUCUAGUGUUUGUCUUAUAAGUGAUAAAUAACUCUGAUUUAUCUAGGGACCCCUUCCCCUUCCCCAUUUCUUUCUUUGUUAGGUCACGGAGGAGUAAAGUAUCUGCACGUAAAAUUGGACUACAGAAGUUAUGGGAGUGGUGCGUAGGGAUUGUCCAAAUGACAUCUCUACCCUGGAGAGUUGUAAUCGGGCGACUUGGGCGUCUUGGCCAUGGGGAGCUUAAAGAUUGGAGUAUCCUCCUUGGAGAAUGUUCACUACAGACAAUCAGCAAAAAGCUCAAGGAUGUGUGCCGGAUGUGUGGAAUCUCUGCCGCAGACUCUCCUUCUAUCCUUAGUGCCUGCCUGGUUGCCAUGGAGCCCCAGGGGUCCUUUGUAGUGAUGCCAG